CGAGCGAAACGGGAAGAGCCCAAACCAACAAGCUUGCUUGUUGGGGUUGUAGGACUCCAAUAUGGUAGUCUGUUAGUAUAGUUGAAGGAUUUGGAAAAUUCCGCUAAAGAGGGUGAAAGCCCCGUAGACGAAAUGCUGACAACACCUAGGAGGAUCCUGAGUACGGCGGAACACGAGAAAUUCCGUCGGAAUCCGCGGGGACCAUCCCGCAAGGCUAAAUACUCCCUAGUGACCGAUAGUGAACCAGUACCGUGAGGGAAAGGUGAAAAGCACCCCGGAAGGGGAGUGAAAUAGAUCCUGAAACCGUGUGCCUACAACAAGUCAAAGCUCGUUAAUGAGUGAUGGCGUGCCUUUUGUAGAAUGAACCGGCGAGUUACGAUUGCAUGCGAGGUUAAGUCGAAGAGACGGAGCCGCAGCGAAAGCGAGUCUGAAUAGGGCGAAUGAGUAUGUAGUCGUAGACCCGAAACCAUGUGAUCUACCCAUGUCCAGGUUGAAGGUGCGGUAAAACGCACUGGAGGACCGAACCCACGUACGUUGAAAAGUGCGGGGAUGAGGUGUGGGUAGCGGAGAAAUUCCAAACGAACUUGGAGAUAGCUGGUUCUCUCCGAAAUAGCUUUAGGGCUAGCCUCGGAAUUGAGAAUGAUGGAGGUAGAGCACUGUUUGGACUAGGGGCCCAUCUCGGGUUACCGAAUUCAGAUAAACUCCGAAUGCCAUUCAUUUAUAUCCGGGAGUCAGACUGCGAGUGAUAAGAUCCGUAGUCGAAAGGGAAACAGCCCAGACCACCAGCUAAGGUCCCAAAAUAUAUGUUAAGUGGAAAAGGAUGUGGGGUUGCACAGACAACUAGGAUGUUGGCUUAGAAGCAGCCACCAUUUAAAGAGUGCGUAAUAGCUCACUAGUCGAGUGACCCUGCGCCGAAAAUGUACCGGGGCUAAACAUAUUACCGAAGCUGUGGACUACACCAUUAGGUGUAGUGGUAGGAGAGCGUUCUAAGGGCGUUGAAGGUCGAUCGUGAGGACGGCUGGAGCGCUUAGAAGUGAGAAUGCCGGUAUGAGUAGCGAAAGACAGGUGAGAAUCCUGUCCACCGUAUGACUAAGGUUUCCUGGGGAAGGCUCGUCCGCCCAGGGUUAGUCGGGACCUAAGCCGAGGCCGAUAGGCGUAGGCGAUGGACAACAGGUUGAUAUUCCUGUACCAGUUGUUUUUGUUUGAGCAAUGGAGGGACGCAGUAGGCUAAGGAAUGCAUGCGAUUGGAAGUGCAUGUCCAAGCAAUGAGUCUUGAGUAGAGUUAAAUGCUUUACUCUCUAAGGACAAGUUGUGACGGGGAGCGAAAUAAUAGUAGCGAAGUUCCUGAUGUCACACUGCCAAGAAAAGCUUCUAGUGAGAAAACAACUGCCCGUACCGUAAACCGACACAGGUAGUCGAGGAGAGUAUCCUAAGGUGAGCGAGCGAACUCUCGUUAAGGAACUCGGCAAAAUGACCCCGUAACUUCGGGAGAAGGGGUGCUGACUUCGGUCAGCCGCAGUGAAUAGGCCCAAGCGACUGUUUAUCAAAAACACAGGUCUCUGCAAAAUCGUAAGAUGAAGUAUAGGGGCUGACGCCUGCCCGGUGCUGGAAGGUUAAGAGGAUGGGUUAGCUUCGGCGAAGCUCAGAAUUGAAGCCCCAGUAAACGGCGGCCGUAACUAUAACGGUCCUAAGGUAGCGAAAUUCCUUGUCGGGUAAGUUCCGACCCGCACGAAAGGCGUAACGAUUUGGGCACUGUCUCAACGAGAGACUCGGUGAAAUUUUAGUACCUGUGAAGAUGCAGGUUACCCGCGACAGGACGGAAAGACCCCAUGGAGCUUUACUGUAGUUUGAUAUUGAGUGUUUGUACCACAUGUACAGGAUAGGUAGGAGCCGAUGAGACCGGAACGCUAGUUUCGGAGGAGGCGCUGGUGGGAUACUACCCUUGUGUUAUGAACCCUCUAACCCGCACCACUAAUCGUGGUGGGAGACAGUGUCAGAUGGGCAGUUUGACUGGGGCGGUCGCCUCCUAAAAGGUAACGGAGGCGCCCAAAGGUUCCCUCAGAAUGGUUGGAAAUCAUUCGAAGAGUGUAAAGGCAGAAGGGAGCUUGACUGCGAGACCUACAAGUCGAGCAGGGACGAAAGUCGGGCUUAGUGAUCCGGUGGUUCCGCAUGGAAGGGCCAUCGCUCAACGGAUAAAAGCUACCCUGGGGAUAACAGGCUUAUCUCCCCCAAGAGUCCACAUCGACGGGGAGGUUUGGCACCUCGAUGUCGGCUCGUCGCAUCCUGGGGCUGUAGUCGGUCCCAAGGGUUGGGCUGUUCGCCCAUUAAAGCGG
rnacentral:rRNA from 1 species